rnacentral:lncRNA from 1 species
AUUUAUCAUAUAUAGAUUUUGGUGAAAAAAGCAUUGAUACACAUUAUCGAAUUGCUAUUAAAUGACCACACAGUACACCUAAGUUACAAAAUCAAAAAUUAGUUCUUUAUCAUUCGUUUGAGCAGUUGAUCUAGUGAUUUAUGGAAUCAGGUAUUACAAACCAUCUUUUGACUCUCAAAUCGAUGACGACCUGUUUUACUGGCAUUUUAACUGCUUUACAUAGCGAACGUUGAAGCUCAGGAACCGUUGCUGUGAAUAAACGUGUGUAUUUCACUGCUUCAGUUAGACUUUUAGACAAAUAAAUAUCCCAGAAAGAAAGCGAGAUUAAACACCCCAUUUGGUUAAGGAAUAUGACUAUGCUUAAGUCAGGAAUGUGUCAGUUGUUUUUCUGCCGUUUUUUAAUCAAUGUUUUUUUUCAACAAGGAUCUUUGUUUUAUAAAUAUCAAACUUAACGGAAAUCAGUUGAGAAACAACAUAAAACGUAUGCAAAACAGACAGACAGACUUCUAUUUUAUAGUUGGUGUAGUAUUAUAAAACCAUCAGACCCAAUAGCAUUGAACCAUCAAUCUUUUCACAAACAAAAGUGAAGCUGAAUAAGUCAUGUAAAUCCAAUCUUUUGAUGUACCAAUUACAAAUAUAAACUAUUACUUGUUUAAAGAAAGAUUUUAUUGUUUUCAUGGACUUUUUGAAAUAACGAAUAAGUGGCAACAUAUCUUUUGACGGAUCCUUUUCACGAUCAUCAAAAUGCUGUACACGAUAAAAAUCCUAUUUGUUUACUUUUUUUCUCUCAACAAUUUCUAAGAUCAAUCUGCCUUUUGUGGUUGUGUAAAAACGG